UACGAAGGGGGCUAGCGUUGCUCGGAAUCACUGGGCGUAAAGCGCACGUAGGCGGCUUUCUAAGUCAGGGGUGAAAUCCUGGAGCUCAACUCCAGAACUGCCUUUGAUACUGGAGAGCUCGAGUCCGGAAGAGGUGAGUGGAACUCCUAGUGUAGAGGUGGAAUUCGUAGAUAUUAGGAAGAACACCAGUGGCGAAGGCGGCUCACUGGUCCGGUACUGACGCUGAGGUGCGAAAGCGUGGGGAGCAAACAGG
rnacentral:rRNA from 1 species